AUUGAACGCUGGCGGCAGGCCUAACACAUGCAAGUCGAGCGGAUGAAGGGAGCUUGCUCCUGGAUUCAGCGGCGGACGGGUGAGUAAUGCCUAGGAAUCUGCCUUGUAGUUGGGGAUAACGUCCGGAAACGGGCGCUAAUACCGCAUACGUCCUGAUGGAGAAAGUGGGGGAUCUUCGGACCUCACGCUAUCAGAUGAGCCUAGGUCGGAUUAGCUAGUUGGUGGGGUAAAGGCCUACCAAGGCGACGAUCCGUAACUGGUCUGAGAGGAUGAUCAGUCACACUGGAACUGAGACACGGUCCAGACUCCUACGGGAGGCAGCAGUGGGGAAUAUUGGACAAUGGGCGAAAGCCUGAUCCAGCCAUGCCGCGUGUGUGAAGAAGGUCUUCGGAUUGUAAAGCACUUUAAGUUGGGAGGAAGGGAAGUAAGUUAAUACCUUGCUGUUUUGACGUUACCAACAGAAUAAGCACCGGCUAACUUCGUG
rnacentral:rRNA from 1 species